GGCCAUAAAAUCUGUAAUUCUUCGUCAUGUACUUGUUAGGUUUUGUGAAUGCUUAGUGCAGGUUUUGGGAGCAUCAUGGUAUGUGGCUUCCAUACAAAGGCAGAGAGAGUGCUGGGAAAGACAAUGCGAUCGAGAGAGAAACCACACACAUUCUCCUUCUUGUAGCCCUACUUUUUUGGAUUGUGCUACCAGGAAUACUCCUGCACGCAAUGCUUGGCUUAAAAUCACUCAGCUGCUCACUAAAUGUGAUGCCAAAAAUGAUGAAAACUUUCAGUUUGGAAUGUUUGCUGAUGCCUUUACCAAUCAUGUCGCUGAAGCAAUUUUCAUUGAUAAAUAUUUCUAUUGCCUUUGGUGGGGUUUAAGAAAUCUGAGUUCAUAUGGGCAAAAUUUGAUGGCAAGUGCUUAUGAAGGUGAACUAUUGUUCAGCAUUGGCAUAUGCAUUAUGGGUCUUGUGUUCUUUGCACAUCUCAUAGGCAACAUGCAGACCUAUAUGCAAUCCACAACAGCUAGACUAGAAGAGUGGAGGAUUCGAAGAAAAGAUACAGAGGAAUGGAUGAGUCACCGACAAUUACCUCCAGAAUUGCAAGAACGUGUUCGACGUUUUGUCCAAUACAAAUGGCGAGCGACAAGAGGUGUCGAUGAAGAAUCCAUCUUGAAGUCUCUACCUUUGGACCUGCGACGUCAAAUUCAAAGGCAUCUCUGUCUGGCUCUUGUUCGACGUGUUCCUUUUUUUUCACAAAUGGAUGAUCAAUUACUAGAUGCAAUAUGUGAACGUCUAGUGUCAUCUCUGAACACCAAAGAUACAUACAUUGUGAGGGAAGGAGAUCCAGUGAAUGAGAUGCUUUUCAUCAUUAGAGGACAACUAGAGAGCUCCACUACUAACGGUGGAAGGACAGGUUUUUUCAACUCAAUCAUACUAAGGGCUGGUGACUUCUGUGGAGAAGAAUUGUUGACAUGGGCGUUGCUGCCAACCUCUUGCCUAAACUUGCCUUCAUCCACUAGAACAGUCAAGGCACUAAAUGAAGUCGAGGCCUUUGCUCUUAGAGCAGAAGACCUCAAAUUUGUUGCUAAACAAUUUAAACACUUGCAUAGCAAGAAGUUGCAGCAUGCUUUCAGGUAUUACUCUCAUCAGUGGAGGACUUGGGGAGCUUGCUAUAUACAAGUUGCAUGGAGGAGGUGUAGAAGAAGGAAAUUGCAGAUGGAAUUGGCAAGGCAAGAGAGUUUAUAUUAUGCUCAAGUUUUGGAAGGUGAAGGUGAUUAUAGUAGUGAGGGAUCAUCAUUAGAAAAUGCAAACAAUGUACAACAUUUUGGGGCUACAAUUCUUGCAUCAAAAUUUGCCGCAAAUACAAGGAGGGGAAUGAUUAAUAGAGCAGUCCUUGAUGAUGAUUCUACCUUAAAAAUGCCUAAGCUGUUUAAACCACAAGACCCUGAUUUUUAUACAGAACAUGAAUAGUUGAAUUUUGCACAGGCUACAACUCCCCCCUACACAACGCGCCCCCGCCCACGCCGCCCAGCACCCCCCCCCUCGCCCCACCAAAAAAAAAGGGCAUGAAAAAACAAAAAUACAUAGUCCAUAUGUGAAUAUUGUAUACUUAAAACCAAGAAAUCAAAGAAUAAUCUUGUAUACAUUGGUUUCCAUUUGUUUUUUUUUAAUUUUUUUUAUUUCUUCAUUAUUAGAUCACUUAGAAACUCAGUUUGUCAAUGAAAGGCGUCUAUGCCACCACUCUUUCCAAGAUAGAUAAGCUUGAGGUAGACGUGGAGUUCUUGGAAAGGCAACAAGCUCCAGCACUUCAAAAGACACACAAUCAGCUCCAGCAAAGUCUUUUUGAAUUUUUGAAGUGUAGUAAGCAAGAUGCUCAAGAACACAAGACUAGAAGCAAGGCUAAUCAUCAUAUAAAAGACCUCAAAUAUUAUGCUGCUACCAGAGAAGGGAGAGGAUUUAAACAAUGGGAGUCAAUGCAAGAAGCAUCCCUCGAUGGCAUGCAUUGAAUAGGCAAAAAUGAUUUAGUAUUGCAAUAGUUAAGAUAAAGUUCUAGUCCUAAAGAGAGCUAUAUAAAGGAAAAGUAUUCAUAAACAUAGCUAAAACUAAAUAAAGGAAAAUGACUAUACAUUUUAUAAAAUAAUAUUAAAAUGAACAUGGAAUCUGGCAAAAGAAUUCUUCUAAACCUGGUUUGCAUUAUCUCCAUUCAUCUGAUUACUAUGUGCCAACUGCCAUUUUAAGGAAAAGCAUAUAGUUCUUUCACACUUAAAGCUCUGAAAAUAGCCUUCAAGCAUUUUCCCUGAAUGAUACCAUUUCAUACCUAAGGUUUAAUCUGAUUUAACAAUAAAGAAACAUUUGCUUCUGAUAUAAAUCAACAGGAGAUGAUAAAUAUCCUAAAAUAUGCUAUCUAUAUUGAGAAAUGAUUAAUAGGAAAUUUGGAAAGAAAAAUAAUUCGAGAAGUACUUGUUUAGGUGGAAAAAUUUCAACUUUUGGAUCAGGUUCCACUGCAACACAUAUA
rnacentral:misc_RNA from 1 species